AUGGCCCAGGGGAAGAAACUGUUGGUGAGUCUAGUAGUGUGUGAUUUAAUUGACCUGAAAUGCUGUCCAGAGGGUAACAGGGGAAACAAGUGAUGGGCAGGAAGUGAGCGGUCUCCUGCGACUGUGCGGAUUCUCCUGAGGAAGCAGGUUCUCGAUAUGGCCUCCAGGGAGGUCAGAGGGUAGAACAUUCAGUGUCAGGUUUUUCACCGAGCACCAAUGGGACAGUUUUUCCACCUCAUCCACAUCUGAGAGGAGCCCAACCACGGUGGUGUCAUCCACAUAUUUGAUGAUGAUGUUGGCUGAGUGUAUUGGGGCACACUCAUAUGUAUAAAGGGUGUACAGUAGAAUACUGAGCAUGUAACCUUGAGGGGAACCAGUACCUGAGUGUGAGUGUGGUGGAGAGAUGGGGGCCACAUCUGACAGAUUGUGAGCAGUGAGUGAGGAAGUGACACACAAAUGAGCGUUAACAGGUUUUAUUUCACUCUAGGAAGGUAGGUAGCAACAGUGAGGUCAUGAGAGAAAAGGGAAGAUUCUUACCAGGUCUGGGGGAAAGGAGUCCACUGGACAGAGAGGAGAUGGGUUAAUCCAGCAGUCCGAUAUCUUCUACUAGGAUAUUUGUGAAGUUACUGGGAUUGAGGGAGCUUAUUAUAGUCUUCCAGAGAGGGACAUCCUGAGAGAGGGAGGUGAGGGCGCCGUUUGAUUCAGAGAGAAGGUCGCCAUUGGAGGGGUGAGCAGCAUAUUACACAAAGGAAACCUUUGAGAAGCAUGGACAAGAAGACAAAAGUUAUAAUAACUUGUCUGCUUUUAGAAGUUGUUUGCAGCCCCGUGUUUGGUGACGAAUGGAAGGUCAAUGUUGUAAAAAACAUCGACGCUCUGGUAACGUCCUGUGUUGUGGUGCCAUGUUCAUUCUCUCAUACUGGAGGAAACCUGCCCAGCUCCAGACUGAGAGGGAUCUGGCACUCUAAAGGCAAAAGAACAGAUAACGUCUAUGACGAGGAUCCAACAAAGAUCCUCGACAACUUCAAGGGUAGAACAAGGAUGUUGGGACAUCUGGGUCAGAACAACUGCACCUUAGAAAUAACUGCCAUUAAAUAUUAUGACAACGGCCCUUUCUGUUUCCGGGUUGAACUAGUGCGAACAGAAGACAAUGAACCCACCAAGGACAAGUUCUCCUUUGUUGACGACUGCGUCGAGUUGAACUUGAUCCCUAAUCCUCCAAAGCCUACACUGAUUAAACCAGAAAGAGUUAUUCAAGGACAGCCUUACACUGUCACCUGUUCAGUCAUGCACACCUGCCCCACCCAUGUUCCUAAACUCACAUGGAAUCGGAAGACUGCAGACGGGAUCAUUGUGCAUCAUAAAGACAUUAAACAUGGCAACUGGGAGACACAGUCCACCCUGACAUUUGUUCCUGAGGAAGCCGAUGACUUCAGCGAGCUGACCUGCACAGCUGAAUUUCACGGAAGGAAGACAUCGUCCGAAACUUUAACACUCUACGUAAAACGUGCAGAAAACCAUAAUCAUAUCAUCAUUCCCACUGUAGUGGGGAUCAGUACAGCUGUGAUCUUUGGACUCUUCUGUAUUUUCAUCAUAAAAAAAUACAAAUCAGUCACUUCAGUACUUUGAAGGACAAUAAACAUUUCCAGUAAAAAAAAAAACAAUCCUCUGAGAUUUUCCUUUCACCUUCAGGAAACGUGCUGCAGAGCUCCAAAAUCAAGAAAGAAGCAUGUAGUAAUGCUCCUUCUGAUGGUCUUGCAGGCAAUCAAAGAAAUCAAGAAGGGGACCAGGUCAAUGGUUAGAUUCUUCUUUAUUCUUU